AGGGAUGGGCUGGAAGCUAAGCUAGGAGAUAAUUAUAACUCCAUCCAUUAAGCACUUACUAUGUGCCAGACACGUAACAUCUAGCACUUCAAUUGACUCUCCAAGCAGCCUUGUGGGGUCAGCACUCUUCUUGCUAGAGGGGCUAAAUAACCUGUCGAAGGAACCUGAUAAGGUCACUGUCUGAACCCGACUCCAGGACUCCAAGUAGAGACUUAAGUGUGAGAGUAGACAUCAAGUGUUCUCUGGGUGUUUUCUUCAAGGAGAUUAUCCAUUUUAAGUGUGUAUCUUCCAAUGAGGCUGGCAAUAUGGUGUGACAGAGGUCAACCUGGAAAGAGAAGAAAUUGGUUUCCCCCAGAGUGCACCAGGGUACUUCCUGAGUUGGUGACACCCCUCCAUGUGGAAAGAAGAGCAAACCAAAUGACAGAGACAGAGUGAGGCAGUGUUGCCAUCCAGAACAGAAGGAGAGGUCCCCUCCUUUCUCCAUUUGUGCCCAACAACUGUGUCUGAGGACUAACAGGUGUCAGACACAUUGGAGGCUCCGGAGAUACAGCUGUGACAAGGCGGACACAGGGCCCCAUGCCUUCAGACUCACAUUCUGUAGGGACAGGACGCCAAGAAACAGUCUCACACAGAAACCACAAAGAUUGGCAGCCACCACCAGAAGUCAGCAAGAGGCAAGGAGAUACUUGCUGGAGUUUGAGAGAAGAAUAUGGCCCAGCUGAUACCUUGACUUGAGGCUUCUGACCUCCAGAAAUGGGAGCGAACGUUUCUGUUGUUUUCAGGCACCUGUGUUUGUAACAGCCAUAUGACACAGCUUUGUCUUUGGAUCUACAAGAGACAAAAGUCUUUCAAAUGGAACCAAAUAAACUAAAUAAUUGAUUUUAACUGG
ensembl:lincRNA Gm12107 predicted gene 12107